rnacentral:rRNA from 1 species
GUGGGGAAUUUUGGACAAUGGGCGCAAGCCUGAUCCAGCAAUGCCGCGUGCAGGAAGAAGGCCUUCGGGUUGUAAACUGCUUUUGUACGGAACGAAACGGUCCUGGUUAAUACCUGGGGCUAAUGACGGUACCGUAAGAAUAAGCACCGGCUAACUACGUGCCAGCAGCCGCGGUAAUACGUAGGGUGCGAGCGUUAAUCGGAAUUACUGGGCGUAAAGCGUGCGCAGGCGGUGCUGUAAGACAGGCGUGAAAUCCCCGGGCUCAACCUGGGAAUUGCGCUUGUGACUGCAGUGCUGGAGUACGGCAGAGGGGGAUGGAAUUCCGCGUGUAGCAGUGAAAUGCGUAGAUAUGCGGAGGAACACCGAUGGCGAAGGCAGUCCCCUGGGCCUGUACUGACGCUCAUGCUCGAAAGCGUGGGGAGCAAACAGGAUUAGAAACCCCGGUAGUCC